rnacentral:rRNA from 1 species
AUUGAACGCUGGCGGCAGGCCUAACACAUGCAAGUCGAGCGAGCGGCGGGCGGGUGAGCAAUGUAUGGGGAUCUGCGCGAGAGAGGGGGAUAACUAAUGGAAACUGUGGCUAAUACCGCAUUCUAGCGGAUGGACCCAUAUGGGAUUAGCGAGGAGGUGGGGUAAAGGCUCACCUAGGCGACGAUCUCUAGCUGGUCUGAGAGGAUGAUCAGCCACACUGGAACUGAGACACGGCCCAGACUCCUACGGGAGGCAGCAGUGGGGAAUAUUGCGCAAUGGGGGCAAGCCUGACGCAGCCAUGCCGCGUGUAUGAAGAAGGCCUUCGGGUUGUAAAGUUCUUUCGGUUGGGAGGCGUUAACUACAGAAGAAGCACCGGCUAACUCCGUGCCAGCAGCCGCGGUAAUAC